CCUACGGGAGGCAGCAGUGGGGAAUAUUGCGCAAUGGGCGAAAGCCUGACGCAGCGACGCCGCGUGAGGGAUGAAGGUCUUCGGAUCGUAAACCUCUGUCAGCAGGGAAGAACGGUCACUGUGCUAAUCAGCAGUGAAUUGACGGUACCUGCAAAGGAAGCACCGGCUAACUCCGUGCCAGCCGCCGCGGUAAAGCGGAGGGUGCGAGCGUUAAUUGGAAUUACUGGGCGUAAAGCGCUCGUAGGCGGUAUGUCAAGUCAAGGGUGAAAUCCCCGCGCUCAACGUGGGAACUGCCUUUGAAACUGGCAAACUGGAGUGUGUGAGAGGUUAGUGGAAUUCCAGGUGUAGGGGUGAAAUGCGUAGAUAUCUGGAGGAACAUCAGUGGCGAAGGCGGCUAUCUGGCACAUAACUGACGCUGAGGAGCGAAAGCGUGGGUAGCAAACAGGAUUAGAUACCCUAGUAGUC
rnacentral:rRNA from 1 species